rnacentral:lncRNA from 1 species
CUUGAAGGUAUUGUACCUAUUGGGUGUAAAUAGAUUUAUAAAAGAAAAAUUAGAUUGGAUGGUAAGGUAGAGACCUAUAUAAGGCAAGACUGGCUGCGAAAGGUUAUAGUCAACACGAAGGCAUUGACUAUCAUGAAUUUUUUUCGUUUGUGGCUAUACUGAAAUCCCCAUUGACUAUCAUAAAUUUUUUUCAUCUGUGGCUAUACUGAAAUCCAUCCGUACUCUACUUGUAAUAGCAAUUUUUCAUAAUUAUAAAAUUUAAUAG